UACGUAGGGGGCAAGCGUUGUCCGGAAUCAUUGGGCGUAAAGCGCGUGUAGGCGGCCCGGUAAGUCCGCUGUGAAAGUCGGGGGCUCAACCCUCGAAUGCCGGUGGAUACUGUCGGGCUAGAGUGCGGAAGAGGCGAGUGGAAUUCCUGGUGUAGCGGUGAAAUGCGCAGAUAUCAGGAGGAACACCGAUGGCGAAGGCAGGUCUCUGGGCCGAUACUGACGCUGAGGAGCGAAAGCGUGGGGAGCGAACAGG
rnacentral:rRNA from 1 species